rnacentral:rRNA from 1 species
GACGAACGCUGGCGGCGUGCUUAACACAUGCAAGUCGAACGGAAAGGCCCUGCUUUUGUGGGGUGCUCGAGUGGCGAACGGGUGAGUAUCACGUGAGUAACCUGCCCUUGACUUUGGGAUAACUUCAGGAAACUGGGGCUAAUACCGGAUAGGAGCUCCUGCUGCAUGGUGGGGGUUGGAAAGUUUCGGUGGUUGGGGAUGGACUCGAGGUUUAUCAGCUGGUUGGUAGGGUAGUGGCUUACAAAGGAUUGGACGGGUAGCCGGCCUGAGAGGGUGACCGGCCACAUGGGACUGAGGAACGGGCCAGUAGUCAAACGGAGGCAGCAGUGGGGAAUAUUGCACAAUGGGCGGAAGCCUGAUGCAGCAACGCCGCGUGCGGGAUGACGGCCUUCGGGUUGUAAACCGAUUUCGCCUGUGACGAAGCGUGAGUGACGGUAAUGGGUAAAGAAGCACCGGCUAACUACGUG